rnacentral:lncRNA from 1 species
GAAUGAGACAUCUUCUUAAGCAGUUAAUCCCUUUCUUCUUUUCAAUAUUCUCGCAACGCCAGAUACUAUAAUACUUAUACCACAGAGCAUAUACAUAAAGAGGUCUUGCUACUGUCAAGCUCUAUUGGCAAAUGUGCCACAGUGCGCCCCAAAACCUUCAGUGUAAAUCAACAAGACAAUAAGUAAAUAAAUCUUCAAAAAAAUUAUAUAUUUCAACGAACAUUAAUUAGGUCAGUUGGUUAUAAUAAAAUUUAAGCCCCUUAAAAGAUACUUUAAUAUUGCUUCCUAAUUUUAUUGGGUUGAUAAAACAUUUUUCUACUUCAACAAAAAAUACUUUUUCAGUGUCUUUAAUCCAAAAUGAAAACGGCAGGGGGGACUUAUUAUGCUGCGAUAAAUUGUUCCAACAAUUAGAAAGCCAACUGUUUGCAUUUCUUUAGAUUUCUUCUUUACCAUAAUAUCUGCAAAGAUGGAUUCAGAAUUCUCGUCGAGCCCAUUUAGGAGGAAGGUCGAGUGAGUCAUGCAACGUUAGUCUUACACUUUUUAAUAAGUAUUUGAGGACUGCAUAUUCAUAAAUUCUGCUAUAAAUAAAAAUAAAAACGGAUACCAAAUGCAAUUCCUGCUAUAUUCGAUGUGCAAAAUCCUUCCCAAAAGUAACUCCUAAACGUUGUCUUUUCUAUGACGUAUUCAAGAUAAGAGCCGAAUUCGUUUGACUUUACUUGAAAGAUAAUCGGCAGAUAACAUUUGCAUGGAUGUUUCUACAGUCUCUGCACCUGGUAAAUCCGAAAAACUUUCUCUUGUGGUAAAACUCAGGCAAUAUAUCUAUCUCAAAAAUGAGUCGAUAAAAAGAUUGCAGCAAGAAGAAAGGCUAAACUCACAACUUUGACAAAUGUGAAACCCCUAAUCUCUUCAAUGCAGCUUACCUUUCUAAACUGCAACAUUUCCUUUGUUCCCUCGUAAACGAGUGUGUGUUUUGUAGGGCAGGGCUUAUAUAUAUAUAUAUAUAUCUCUCUGUAUGGCAGCACUGGGUUGUGAUUGGAGGAACAUUAAAAUGUAUUCUCUCCACUCUUUCUGCAUUAGCGAGUAUAUUUAUCAAUGUGCAAUUUACUCCCCUGUGAUAAAAAUAGAAAAUAAUUUACCAAAAGAAAAUCUUGCAGUCCACAUGUUAUUAAUUAAUCAAAAUUAUGUCCAAACGAGAAAGAAGGGAAGUAGAGCAGGUGCUCUCACAUCCUUAUAUCUAAUCAGCUCUAUGAUGCAGUGGAAAACAUCAAAUGCUCCUAUUCAAAUAAAUUCAAUACUUUUGCUGUCAGGGCCUACUGCAAAAGUUAAUCGUACUACAGAUUUAUUUCGUCAAAGUUCAAACAACCUGUUGUUUUAUCAAUACAGGUCUGAAUGCUGAAGUUCAACGUGAAUUAGGGGUUCGGUCCUAAUUUGCUAUGAGAUGUAACACUUAAACCAAAAGGAUAGAGUGUCCUUCUUAAUUGUAGAUGAGAUAUCAUGGCACAAAUUUGUAGAUUUUGACCCCAUCUUUGUUGUAAUCCAGAGAAUCAAGCAUUCAAAUAUUUUGCUAUACAUUGUUACUCAAUCUCAAGAAGUUACAUGAUGCUCCUUGAGAGACAUGCAGUUACUUAGGCACAAAGCUAGCUGUGUUUAGAACUGAGAUUGAAACCAGUAAUAUGUUCUUGGGGCUGAAAAGAUACGAUACAGACUCAUAAACACUUUUCUGCUCAGGACCUUAGAUGACAAAAUAUGUUAAGAACAUUUAACUUGAGAGCAACAUUUGCUCGUUUCGUCACUUCUCACGCAAUGGGAUUCUGAAGCUCGUAAAAAUAACUAUUCUUAAGUAUAAA